AAGGAAGCAGAGGACGGCGCAGCAGACGACUGAAUAGCUUUUUUUGUUCCUACAAUAUAGAAACAUUUCAGUUAAUAUCUUCCACUGAACAGAAUUUUCCUGAUUGUCCCAUCAUGGAUAGGGACAGAGACAAGAUGGCAGAGAGGAUAUUAAAUCUCACCCUAGAGAUACUCUUUCAACUUACUGGAGAGGAUUACACAGUAGUGAAGAAGACCUCUAGUGAACGCUGUCAGUCCACUGUAUCUGAAGUAUGGGGAAGAACCCGGAGCCCAAUCAUGAGGCCUCCACCUCACCCCCUGAUACAUGAGGAGAUCAAUGAACAGAAGAUCCUAGAACUCACCCACAGAAUGAUUGAGCUGCUGA